rnacentral:rRNA from 1 species
AUUGAACGCUGGCGGCAGGCCUAACACAUGCAAGUCGAGCGGAUGAAGGGAGCUUGCUCCUGGAUUCAGCGGCGGACGGGUGAGUAAUGCCUAGGAAUCUGCCUGGUAGUGGGGGAUAACGUCCGGAAACGGGCGCUAAUACCGCAUACGUCCUGAGGGAGAAAGGGUGGGAUCUUCGGACCUCACGCUCUCAGAUGAGCCUAGGUCGGAUUAGCUAGUUGGUGGGGUAAAGGCCUACCAAGGCGACGAUCCGUAACUGGUCUGAGAGGAUGAUCAGUCACACUGGAACUGAGACACGGUCCAGACUCCUACGGGAGGCAGCAGUGGGGAAUAUUGGACAAUGGGCGAAAGCCUGAUCCAGCCAUGCCGCGUGUGUGAAGAAGGUCUUCGGAUUGUAAAGCACUUUAAGUUGGGAGGAAGGGCAGUAAGUUAAUACCUUGCUGUUUUGACGUUACCAACAGAAUAAGCACCGGCUAACUUCGUG